UACGUAGGGAGCGAGCGUUGUCCGAAGUUACUGGGCGUAAAGCGCGCGUAGGCGGGCUGUUAAGUGAGAGGUGAAAGGCUGGGGCUUAACCCCAUGCAGUGCCUCUCAUACUGGCGGUCUUGAGUGCGGCAGGGAGAAGUGGAAUGGCUGGUGUAGCGGUGAAAUGCGUAGAUAUCUGCAGGAACACCCGUGGCGAAAGCGGCGCGCUGGACCACUACUGACGCUGAGGAACGAAAGCUAGGGGAGCAAACGGG
rnacentral:rRNA from 1 species